AUGAACGCUAGCUACAGGCUUAACACAUGCAAGUCGAGGGGCAGCAUUUUAGUUUGCUUGCAAACUGAAGAUGGCGACCGGCGCACGGGUGAGUAACACGUAUCCAACCUGCCGAUAACUCCGGGAUAGCCUUUCGAAAGAAAGAUUAAUACCGGAUAGCAUACGAAUAUCGCAUGAUAUUUUUAUUAAAGAAUUUCGGUUAUCGAUGGGGAUGCGUUCCAUUAGUUUGUUGGCGGGGUAACGGCCCACCAAGACUACGAUGGAUAGGGGUUCUGAGAGGAAGGUCCCCCACAUUGGAACUGAGACACGGUCCAAACUCCUACGGGAGGCAGCAGUGAGGAAUAUUGGUCAAUGGGCGCGAGCCUGAACCAGCCAAGUAGCGUGAAGGAUGAAGGCUCUAUGGGUCGUAAACUUCUUUUAUAUGGGAAUAAAGUUUUCCACGUGUGGAAUUUUGUAUGUACCAUAUGAAUAAGGAUCGGCUAACUCCGUGCCAGCAGCCGCGGUAAUACGGAGGAUCCGAGCGUUAUCCGGAUUUAUUGGGUUUAAAGGGAGCGUAGGUGGAUUGUUAAGUCAGUUGUGAAAGUUUGCGGCUCAACCGUAAAAUUGCAGUUGAAACUGGCAGUCUUGAGUACAGUAGAGGUGGGCGGAAUUCGUGGUGUAGCGGUGAAAUGCUUAGAUAUCACGAAGAACUCCGAUUGCGAAGGCAGCUCACUAGACUGUCACUGACACUGAUGCUCGAAAGUGUGGGUAUCAAACAGGAUUAGAUACCCUGGUAGUCCACACAGUAAACGAUGAAUACUCGCUGUUUGCGAUAUACAGUAAGCGGCCAAGCGAAGGCAUUAAGUAUUCCACCUGGGGAGUACGCCGGCAACGGUGAAACUCAAAGGAAUUGACGGGGGCCCGCACAAGCGGAGGAACAUGUGGUUUAAUUCGAUGAUACGCGAGGAACCUUACCCGGGCUUAAAUUGCAACAGAAUAUAUUGGAAACAGUAUAGCCGUAAGGCUGUUGUGAAGGUGCUGCAUGGUUGUCGUCAGCUCGUGCCGUGAGGUGUCGGCUUAAGUGCCAUAACGAGCGCAACCCUUAUCUUUAGUUACUAACAGGUCAUGCUGAGGACUCUAGAGAGACUGCCGUCGUAAGAUGUGAGGAAGGUGGGGAUGACGUCAAAUCAGCACGGCCCUUACGUCCGGGGCUACACACGUGUUACAAUGGGGGGUACAGAAGGCGGCUACCUGGUGACAGGAUGCUAAUCCCAAAAACCUCUCUCAGUUCGGAUCGAAGUCUGCAACCCGACUUCGUGAAGCUGGAUUCGCUAGUAAUCGCGCAUCAGCCAUGGCGCGGUGAAUACGUUCCCGGGCCUUGUACACACCGCCCGUCAAGCCAUGAAAGCCGGGGGUACCUGAAGUACGUAACCGCAAGGAGCGUCCUAGGGUAAAACUGGUGAUUGGGGCU
rnacentral:rRNA from 1 species